GUGUAACAGUAUCUCUUGUAAAUUACAGUUUUCAGAAACCCAACAUUGCUAGUGAUAGUUUCUAUCAUUGGAUCUGUCCAAGUUACAAGGGGAGGAGAUUCCCCCGUGUAACAGUAUCUCUUGUAAGUUACAGUUUUCAGAAACCCAACAUUGCUAACAAUAGUUUCUAUCAUUGGAUCUGUCCAAGUAACAAGGGGAGGAGAUUCCCCUGUGUAACAGUAUCUCUUGUAAGUUACAGUUUUCAGAAACCCAACAUUGCUAACGAUAGUUUCUAUCACUGGAUUAGGACAACUAACUGCUUGGUUGGUUUCUGUGUGUAAUCAAAGGCUUACUUUCUUUGUAGGUAGUUUUUACUCAAGAUCUAAAAACCACAGAAGCGUGAUGAAAACAAUGACUGUUACCACUGGCACAGGCAUAUUUUACCAGGAUCCUGAUUGCAAGAAACUUACCAACAAACUACAACAACAUCAUUUCUUCCAGGAUAAGAAGAGUUUCCAGUGUCCAGGAUGCGGAAAGGAUUUCACAAGAAAGUCCAACCUUGUCAGGCAUAGCACUUACUAUUGCACUCGGGAAAAUCACUAAACUUAAUCUCUAGCAAAAAUUUGGCAUCACGGGAAUGGGAAAAUAUCUGAUGAACAGGAGUUCUUGUACAUCUUUUACAACUUGCAUCUCACCACAUGAUAUCCCAGUUUGGCAGUUGUUGUCUCUUAUUAUCGUUUGAUGAACAUUGGAGAUGAUACGAUCUUCUUUUACCUAAAUUAUAAUUACAUAUUUAUACUGUGUGUAGUUUCUGCCAAGGUGUGCUAUAUAUAUUUUUUUUCACGAUAUGUAAAUACUGAUGGAUUAUUAUUGAAAUUUUCAUAAUAAAUAAAAAAAAAAAAUCAAUUUGAUUGUACAACCCACAGGUUACCCCCGUUACCAGUGGUCCAAGCUGACCGUAGAAACUUCAGAUGGAUUGAGAUAUUUGUGUCCAGAGUGUAUGAAAACAUUUCGAUCAGCCGACUCUGUCCGAAAGCACCACAUGUAUUCCCACAGGUCUAUCAGGAGCUUUGAGUGUCAGCACUGUCGCAAAAUCUUCAAAAGAAACAGCGACCUAAAAACUCAUAGUCGUAUACGUUGCAAGGACCGAUUCUGAGCAACCUGUGUUUGUUAUGCAGUUCCUCUUCUUCUAUUUAUAUGUACAUAUAUUUUAAAGACAUGCAUGUAAAUGAUAAAUUAAUUCAACUUGUAGAUUAUGACAAACUAAUUUCUUGGAUAUAGUUUGUGUUGUGAAUAAAAUAUAUCAGAUCAAUAUUAGCUUGGGGUGUUAUUCCCUGUUGAAAAUAUUUUACACUAUCAAUUUUAUAAGUAAACUAGAAGUGUUAAGCAUUCCACCUCAGAACAAAAUACGUGUAUGAAGAAUUAUAAAGUUUCCUUUAACAUCCUACCAUCUAGGGUACUACUGAAAAUGUGUAUAAUCAGUUCUAUAACGUAUGCAGAAUCUCUUACUUGUCCUGGUAAAUUCCACUUUAUUGUUUGGAAUAUUCUGUAAGAUCUUUGUUGUUGUUGUAGUAGAAGUCAUCCAUUUACCCAAGUCACAAUUCCACUUUUGUUUUAAAGUAGUGUAGGUGUAUUCUGCUACAUUGGCCAUUAAUAGUCUCUCUCUCUCCCGUCUUGUUUAUACGUUCAAACACACCAUAGAAUUCAACAUCUGUAUUGGUAUGUUCCAGGAAACUACUACCUCAGUUGGGCCCAGCAAGCAGUAGUUACCCCAACAGGAACAAGGUACAUGUGUCCUGUCUGUAACAAAACCUUCAGCUCGGGAACGUCCCUUAGUGUGCAUCACCUUCGACAGCAUCGAACAAUCCACAAGUGUAAGAGCUGUGGGCAAGAAUUUGGCGAGAAAAAUGACCUCAAACUUCAUUAUUCAUUUUGCAGGAGAAAGAAGACUUGUUGAAAAAUCCUCGAUGACAGAAAUAGCAGUAAACAUCGUUUCUAAGAACAGCCGACUGUUUAGAUGGUCUUCCUCUUGCUGGUACUAAUCUGAAACAGCUAGCUCCUGGAUCUAGAAACAAAAGAAAAGCAAGCAUAUCAUUUAUAAAAUAUAUUGAUGGCUUUGGUACAUUUGUAGAGCCAUUUUAAAA